rnacentral:rRNA from 1 species
UACGGAGGGGGCGAGCGUUAUUCGGAAUUAUUGGGCGUAAAGGGCGCGUAGGCGGCCUUGCAAGUCAAAGGUGAAAUCCCUCGGCUCAACUGAGGAACUGCCUUUGAAACUGUAAGGCUUGAGGCCGGGAGGGGGUAGCGGAAUUCCCAGUGUAGCGGUGAAAUGCGUAGAUAUUGGGAGGAACACCAGUGGCGAAGGCGGCUACCUGGACCGGUUCUGACGCUGAUGCGCGAAAGCGUGGGUAGCAAACGGG